UUGAUCCUGGCUCAGGACGAACGCUGGCGGCGUGCCUAACACAUGCAAGUCGAGCGAGGGAGCUCCUUCGGGAGCAACCUAGCGGCGGACGGGUGAGUAACACGUGGGCAACCUGCCUUGAAGAGGGGGAUAGCCUCCCGAAAGGGAGAUUAAUACCGCAUAACAUCGGAUUACCGCAUGGUGAACCGAUUAAAGGAGUAAUCCGCUUCAAGAUGGGCCCGCGGCGCAUUAGCUAGUUGGUGAGGUAACGGCUCACCAAGGCGACGAUGCGUAGCCGACCUGAGAGGGUGAUCGGCCACAUUGGGACUGAGACACGGCCCAAACUCCUACGGGAGGCAGCAGUGGGGAAUAUUGCACAAUGGGGGAAACCCUGAUGCAGCAACGCCGCGUGAGUGAUGACGGCCUUCGGGUUGUAAAGCUCUGUCUUUGGGGACGAUAAUGACGGUACCGGAAUAGAAAGCCACGGCUAACUACGUGCCAGCAGCCGCGGUAAUACGUAGGUGGCAAGCGUUAUCCGGAAUUAUUGGGCGUAAAGCGAGCGCAGGCGGAUUUUUAAGUGGGAUGUGAAAUACCCGGGCUCAACCUGGGUGCUGCAUUCCAAACUGGAAAUCUAGAGUGCAGGAGGGGAAAGUGGAAUUCCUAGUGUAGCGGUGAAAUGCGUAGAGAUUAGGAAGAACACCAGUGGCGAAGGCGACUUUCUGGACUGUAACUGACGCUGAGGCUCGAAAGCGUGGGGAGCAAACAGGAUUAGAUACCCUGGUAGUCCACGCCGUAAACGAUGUCGAUUUGGAGGUUGUGCCCUUGAGGCGUGGCUUCCGGAGCUAACGCGUUAAAUCGACCGCCUGGGGAGUACGACCGCAAGGUUGAAACUCAAAGGAAUUGACGGGGGCCCGCACAAGCGGUGGAGCAUGUGGUUUAAUUCGAUGCAACGCGAAGAACCUUACCUGGUCUUGACAUCCACAGAACUUUCCAGAGAUGGAUUGGUGCCUUCGGGAACUGUGAGACAGGUGCUGCAUGGCUGUCGUCAGCUCGUGCCGGGAAAUGUUGGGUUAAGUCCCGCAACGAGCGCAACCCUUAUCCUUUGUUGCCAGCGGUCCGGCCGGGAACUCAAAGGAGACUGCUAGUGAUAAACUGGAGGAAGGUGGGGAUGACGUCAAGUCAUCAUGGCCCUUACGACCAGGGCUACACACGUGCUACAAUGGCGCAUACAAAGAGAAGCGACCUCGCGAGAGCAAGCGGACCUCAUAAAGUGCGUCGUAGUCCGGAUUGGAGUCUGCAACUCGACUCCAUGAAGUCGGAAUCGCUAGUAAUCGUGGAUCAGAAUGCCACGGUGAAUACAUUCCCGGGCCUUGCACUCACCGCCGGUCA
rnacentral:rRNA from 1 species